rnacentral:sRNA from 1 species
GGCGAAGCCAGGCUGUCCUAGGAAGCCGAGUGGGAGUGGCACGGAGCUGCUGGAGGUCCUGAGAACCUGAGUUUCGGCAAGCAACCAGGUCUGGAAACUGUGAGUGUGUGGGCUUUUCUCCGACGUCGAGCGUGGUCCUAGCGUAAACAGAUGCAUUCGCCUCUCCGGUUUCAAUCUUUUUUUACGUUCGCGCUUUCCUCAAGGCCGGUGGGUCAGGAGUGGAGCCUUAGUCAUUCUAACGCUAGAGGUGUCAGUAGGGCCAACAGAGUCUGGUCCCUGCACGGCUUGCUGUUGCGCGCUCUCCUAGGCCUCAACUUCCUCUCAACUGUGUGGUCAGUUCAGGCCGGGAAUCCAAUCUUUUCCGAGCUCCAUAUUUUAUCCACUUGGUGGCGUCCAGUCCCAAGUCCGGCAGUUGAAUUCCGCCCUAAAGAUGGGCUUUAUUUCUAUCGUUUUUUAGAUAACAGGACAUUCAGUUAGUAAUGAUGGUUGCAGGUUGAAUACUCUCGCCCUAGAGCUCACCUAACUUGCAGUGAGUAUCAAGUGCUUGUGUGCCGAUUAGAGAACAACUUCGGAUACAAUGGGAGGUGUCAAGGAAACGAAUAUUUUAAAAAUGACUACACCAAACAAGACACCUCCUGGUGCUGACCCCAAGCAGUUGGAAAGGACUGGAACAGUACGGGAAAUUGGGUCACAAGCUGUUUGGUCACUCUCAUCUUGCAAACCAGGAUUUGGAGUGGAUCAGUUACGAGAUGACAAUCUAGAAACUUAUUGGCAAUCAGAUGGUUCCCAGCCUCAUUUAGUGAACAUCCAAUUCAGGUAAUUAAUACAUUUUCAAAUUUUUCAUCUAGUGUAGGUUAUAGACAAAUCUAUUUUAUUAACAUAA